GUUCUGUCGCUAGGAAUAUCACUUGGAAUUUUGCGCUUGGCCAACACGGACGCUGUUUGGUUAAAAACAAAGUGUGAUAGUGAAAGUGAAAGUUAGAGUGAAACCAUGUACUGAUUAAAAAGUUUUCGAUUUAUAGAUAAAAAAGAAUUAGAAAACACACUAAAUGAGAAAAUAAACGAAAAAACUUGUGAAAAGCGAUUUUAAGGACGCUAACUUCAAAAACGUAUUAUAAUUAAAAAGGAAAUAGAAAGAUGCUCGGAAAAACAAGCUUGUGAAACGGGAAUGUAAGGAACACGAGGUGGAAGCUAAAUUCAGCAGGCUAAUGACUUAAUACCUUUGCAGAUUUUUAGCUUCUUACGUUAUCUUUAACCAAAUUACAAUACUGUCUGCUAAAGUAUAUGUAUUUUAAUACACCAAAUAAUAAAAAAUCAAAUACAAUUUUUCGUUAUUUAAAAUUUGCCUAAAAUGUAUUAGAAAUGGAGCCCAACGACGAAACCAAAUUAAAAAAUUUGCUCUUCACAUUUGAAAAAUCUUCUUCACUUAAAAAAUUUAUAAAUUUACAAUACAAUACAAUUUUGGUGAAAGAGAACAACGCUCCAAUCGCUCAAGGAAGUUUUAAUGUUGUAGCCGUUUUAAAGUCUUACCCGAGAGGCUGAAUUGUACUCGACCUAUACAGCUGAAGCCAAGACUUAACAUCGUCGCAAAGGUACCAGCUGAUAAGCAUCAUUGUAAAGGACUCUUCAGCAAGAGAAAUUGUCUUAAAGCCAUAUGAAUUCGCCGAGAUCGUGGACCAAAUAGUAUCCCUAUUUCCAUCUGAGGAAAACAGCAGAGUUCCACAAAAAAAUCCCAAAAAAAACGAUCCGUCACAUGGAAUAACCCCCGUAGUUGAAGAAGCUGAACGAUGCUAACGAU